rnacentral:rRNA from 1 species
GACGUAGGGGGCGAGCGUUGUCCGGAUUUACUGGGCGUAAAGCGCGUGCAGGCGGCCUGUUAAGUCCCGUGUGAAAGCCUCCGGCUCAACCGGAGGAGGUCGCGGGAGACUGGCGGGCUUGAGGGCGGCAGAGGGUGGUGGAAUUCCCGGUGUAGCGGUGAAAUGCGUAGAUAUCGGGAGGAACGCCAGUGGCGAAGGCGGCCACCUGGGCCGUCCCUGACGCUGAGACGCGAAAGCUGGGGGAGCGAA